rnacentral:rRNA from 1 species
AGUGAACGCUGGCGGUAUGCCUAACACAUGCAAGUCGAACGGCAGCACAGUAAGAGCUUGCUCUUACGGGUGGCGAGUGGCGGACGGGUGAGGAAUACAUCGGAAUCUACUUUUUCGUGGGGGAUAACGUAGGGAAACUUACGCUAAUACCGCAUACGACCUACGGGUGAAAGCAGGGGAUCUUCGGACCUUGCGCGAUUGAAUGAGCCGAUGUCGGAUUAGCUAGUUGGCGGGGUAAAGGCCCACCAAGGCGCCGAUCCGUAGCUGGUGUGAGAGGAUGGUCGGCCGCACUGGAAGUGAGACACGGUCCAGACUCCUACGGGAGGCAGCAGUGGGGAAUAUUGGGCAAUGGGGGGGAGUCUGAUACAGCCAUACUGCGUGGGUGCAGAAGGCCUUCGGGUCGUAAAGCCCUUUUGUUGGGAAAGAAAAGCAGCAGGUUAAUACCCCGCGGUUCUGACGGUACCCAAAGAAUAAGCACCGGCUAACUUCGUG